GAUGAACGCUGGCGGCGUGCCUAAUACAUGCAAGUCGAGCGAACAGACGAGGAGCUUGCUCCUCUGACGUUAGCGGCGGACGGGUGAGUAACACGUGGAUAACCUACCUAUAAGACUGGGAUAGCUUCGGGAAACCGGAGUUAAUACCGGAUAAUAUAUUGAACCGCAUGGUUCAAUAGUGAAAGACGGUUUUGCUGUCACUUAUAGAUGGAUCCGCGCCGCAUUAGCUAGUUGGUAAGGUAACGGCUUACCAAGGCAACGAUGCGUAGCCGACCUGAGAGGGUGAUCGGCCACACUGGAACUGAGACACGGUCCAGACUCCUACGGGAGGCAGCAGUAGGGAAUCUUCCGCAAUGGGCGAAAGCCUGACGGAGCAACGCCGCGUGAGUGAUGAAGGUCUUCGGAUCGUAAAACUCUGUUAUUAGGGAAGAACAAAUGUGUAAGUAACUAUGCACGUCUUGACGGUACCUAAUCAGAAAGCCACGGCUAACUACGUG
rnacentral:rRNA from 1 species